CUGGUCCAUACUGGUCCAUACUGGUCCAUACUGGUCUAUACUGGUCUAUACUGGUCUAUACUGGUCCAUACUGGUGUUGGAAGGGGUUGGACAAUGGGUUCUCCUGGGAUCUUCUAUUGGUUCCUAUGGCUCUCUAUUGACCCCUAUGGGUCCGUAGCGGCCCAUACUGGUCCAUACUGGUCUAUACUGGUCUAUACUGGUCCAUACUGGUCCAUACUGGUGUGGGAAGGGGUUGGACAAUGGGUUCUCCUGGGAUCUUCUAUUGGUUCCUAUGGCUCUCUAUUGACCCCUAUGGGUCUCUAUUGGUCUAUACUGGUUUCUACUGGUCCAUACUGGUUUCUACUGGUCUAUACUGGUCUAUACUGGUCCAUACUGGUCUAUUCUGGUCCAUACUGGUCUAUACUGGUGUUGGAAUGGGUUGGACAAUGGGCUCUCCUGGGAUCUUCUAUUGGUUCCUAUGGGUCUCUAUUGACCACUAUGGGUCCCUAUUGGUCCAUACUGGUCCCUAUUGGUCCAUACUGGUUUCUACUGGUCCAUACUGGUCUAUACUGGUCUAUACUGGUCUAUACUGGUUUUUACUGGUCCAUACUGGUCCAUACUGGUCCAUACUGGUGUUGGAAGGGGUUGGAAGGGGUUGGACAAUGGGUUCUCCUGGGAUCUUCUAUUGGUUCCUAUGGCUCUCUAUUGACCUCUAUGGGUCCGUAGCGGCCCAUACUGGUCCCUAUUGGUCUAUACUGGUUUCUACUGGUCCAUAUUGGUCUAUACUGGUCCAUACUGGUCUAUACUGGUCUAUACUGGUCCAUACUGGUCUAUACUGGUCCAUACUGGUCCAUACUGGUGUUUGAUAGGGGUUCAACAAUGGGCUCUCCUGGGAUCUUCUAUUGCUUCCUAUGGCUCUCUAUGGACCCCUAUGGGUCCCUAUUGGUCUAUACUGGUUUCUACUGGUCCAUACUGGUCUAUACUGGUCUAUACUGGUCUAUACUGGUCCAUACUGGUGUGGGAAGGGGGUGGACAAUGGGCUCUCCUGGGAUCUUCUA
ensembl:lncRNA